UGAGUUUUGCCUUGGCUCCCUUGGUGUC
rnacentral:piRNA from 1 species